rnacentral:rRNA from 1 species
CGUACGGGGACAACAUUCCGAAAGGGAUGCUAAUACCGGAUGUGACGCUCCUAUCGCAUGACGGGAGCGUGAAAGAUGGCCUCUACAUGUAAGCUAUCGCUAAAGGAUGGGCCUGCGUCUGAUUAGCUAGUUGGUAGUGUAACGGACAACCAAGGCGAUGAUCAGUAGCCGGUCUGAGAGGAUAAACGGCCACAUUGGGACUGAGACACGGCCCAG